rnacentral:rRNA from 1 species
UGGGGAAUAUUGGACAAUGGGCGAAAGCCUGAUCCAGCAAUGCCGCGUGUGUGAAGAAGGCCUGCGGGUUGUAAAGCACUUUCAGUAGAGAAGAAAAGCUAAAUGUUAAUACCAUUUAGUAUUGACUUAACCUACAGAAGAAGCACCGGCUAACUCCGUGCCAGCAGCCGCGGUAAUACGGAGGGUGCGAGCGUUAAUCGGAAUUACUGGGCGUAAAGAGUACGUAGGAGGCAAUACAAGUUGGGUGUGAAAGCCCCGGGCUUAACCUGGGAAUUGCACUCAAAACUGUAUAGCUAGAGUCUUGCAGAGGAAAGCGGAAUUCCGGGUGUAGCGGUGAAAUGCGUAGAGAUCCGGAAGAACAUCAGUGGCGAAGGCGGCUUUCUGGGCAGAGACUGACUCUGAGGUACGAAAGCGUGGGGAGCAAACAGG